CAAUAGCGUAUAUUAAAGUUGUUGCGGUUAAAAAGCUCGUAGUUGGAUUUCUGCUGAGGACGAUCGGUCCGCCCACUGGGUGAGUAUCUGGCUCGGCCUUGGCAUCUUCUUGGAGAACGUUGCUGCACUUGACUGUGUGGUGCGGUAUCCAGGACUUUUACUUUGAGGAAAUUAGAGUGUUUCAAGCAGGCGCACGCCUUGAAUACAUUAGCAUGGAAUAAUAAGAUAGGACCUUGGUUCUAUUUUGUUGGUUUCUAGAGCUGAGGUAAUGAUUAAGAGGGACAGUUGGGGGCAUUUGUAUUUCGUCGCUAGAGGUGAAAUUCUUAGAUUGACGAAAGACAAACUGCUGCGAAAGCGUCUGCCAAGGAUGUUUUCAUUGA
rnacentral:rRNA from 1 species